rnacentral:lncRNA from 1 species
AUGCAGUUUACACUUUUCUGUUUUACCCAAACUGAGGAGUCCAGUCAGCUGUUAACGAAAACAGAUACUAUUUCGUACUGUGGAGACCUCCGCUGGUUUAAUGGCAGCCUUCUGAUGUGUUUGGAAAUGGAUGAAAUGCUACUGAAUUCUGAAAGAAGCCUACUAUCUAUUAGGAAGUCUUCCAUAAAGGAUGGAACACCAUCUCUGAACAAAGAUAAGAGCUGGGAAAUAUUUCCUGCCAGGAGGAAAAGGAAAAUACAUCUUUUUUCUGUUACAUUGCAUGGUGCUCAUGGGACAGAUUUAAACCGGAAGAAACUAUGUCCUGUAUUUCUAAGCUCAGCAACUCAGAACACAGCAGAAAAUGAACAGCUCCCCAAAUCAAUGACCAACUCUACACCAGGCAGUGACAAUUGCUCUAAAAGUCAGCAGCGAGCUAUACCUCUUCUUCAGGACCACUAGGUGCGCCAAGAUAGAGGAAGAGUCCCUCAGCGUUUCGAACUUAUUGAGACCUGGUGAGAUAGGCCACCACGUGCAGGUUGUACUGAUGAAAUAGUCUACUGUGAUGUGGUAGCUCUAAUCCUGUCACAAUGAUACAAAAACUCCUAAUCAAAGUAAAGAAUCUAUCUCAUUGCCUGGUCAUGGCUGCAUGGACAGCCUUUUGGUGACCCUACCAUAAUGAUUUAGCCCAGCCAUCUGCUCCUAACUCAAGGCUUGUGGUCCAGAUAUCUUCCCAGAAAUGUGGGUACCAAGUGAAAGUGAUCUGGCUUCCUAUGUUAAAUUAUCUUUGCACAAAAUAUAGAGGAUGGCACUGGUGGACCUACAGAUAGAAUAAUUCAUGUAUAGGUUUUUAAGACAAAAGGGGCCCAUUGUGAUCAUUUUGUCUGACCUUUGAAGUAGCAUAAUAUGGAACGCUUUCCUUUUCUUCAUAAAUUGCCUAUUAGGCAAAGGCCAAUAACUUUGCGUUACAUAUUUUACGCUAAAUAAAGGCAAAAAGCAUUAGCUUUUCUGAUAGUCC